ensembl:snRNA U6 U6 spliceosomal RNA
GUGCACACUUUGGCAGCACAUACACUAAAAUUGGAACAAUACAGAGAAGAUUAGUAUGGCUCCUAUGCAAUGGUGACAUAUAAAUUCAUGAAGAAUUCCACAUUUAA